rnacentral:rRNA from 1 species
CGCUGGCGGCGUGCCUAACACAUGCAAGUCGAGCGGAGAUGAUGUGAGGAAGUUUUCGGAUGGAAUCACAUUAUUUUAGCGGCGGACGGGUGAGUAACGCGUGAGCGACCAACCUUGCACAGGGGGAUAACGGACCGAAAGGUUCACUAAUACCGCAUGAGACCACGGUGUUGCAUGACACAGGGGUCAAAGGAGGAAUCCGGUGCAAGACGGGCUCGCGUCCGAUUAGGUAGUUGGAGGGGUAACGGCCCACCAAGCCUAUGAUCGGUAGCCGACCUGAGAGGGUGAUCGGCCACAUUGGAACUGAGAUACGGUCCAAACUCCUACGGGAGGCAGCAGUGGGGAAUAUUGGGGCCAAUGGGGGAAACCCUGACCCAGCAACGCCGCGUGAAGGAAGAAGGUUUUCGGAUUGUAAACUUCUGUCCUUGGUGAAGAGAAGAAGACGGUAGCCAAGGAGGAAGCCCCGGCUAACUACGUGCCAGCCGCCGC